rnacentral:rRNA from 1 species
UACGUAGGUGGCAAGCGUUGUCCGGAUUUACUGGGUGUAAAGGGCGCGUAGGCGGGCCCGCAAGUCAGAUGUGAAAUACCGAGGCUUAACUUCGGAACUGCAUCUGAAACUGCGGAUCUUGAGUACUGGAGGGGAAAGUGGAAUUCCUAGUGUAGCGGUGAAAUGCGUAGAUAUUAGGAGGAACACCGGUGGCGAAGGCGGCUUUCUGGACAGUAACUGACGCUGAGGCGCGAAAGCGUGGGGAGCAAAC